GAUGAACGCUGGCGGCGUGCCUAAUACAUGCAAGUCGAGCGAACAGACGAGGAGCUUGCUCCUCUGACGUUAGCGGCGGACGGGUGAGUAACAUGUGGUUAACCUCCCUAUAAGACUGGGAUAACUAGGGGAAACCGCAGUUAUAACCGAAUAAUUUAUUAAUCCGCAUGGUUAAAUAGUGUAAGCCGUUUUUCCUGUAACUUAUAAAUGUACCACCGCCGCAUUAGCUAUUUUGUAAGUUAACGGCUUACCAUGGCAACGAUGCGUAGCCGACCUGAGAGGGUGAUCGGCCACACUGGAACUGAGACACGGUCCAGACUCCUACGGGAGGCAGCAGUAGGGAAUCUUCCCCAAUGGGCGAAAGCCUGACGCAGCAACGCCGCGUGAGUGAUGAAGGUCUUCGGAUCGUAAAACUCUGUUAUUAGGGAAGAACAAAUGUAUAAGUAACUAUGCACGUCUUGACGGUACCUAAACAGAAAGCCACGGCUAACUACGUG
rnacentral:rRNA from 1 species